AUCCGUGUUUUUAGAAUGACGUAAUACCAUUCCUGUUGGUGCUGCGCUCUAUCAAGGGUUAAACGGACUACGACCACUCUGAUUCCCGCCGUUCUUUGUCAUUUGUCCUUUUGUGGUACAUAAAGUUAGUUGUUCUACAACAAAUUGGGAUUCGAUUUAAUGUUUUGAUGAUUAAAGAGCGGCAACUGGCGACAAGAAGUAGGUUACAUACAACUGGGCGCAACUUGUUAAAGGAGGUGUUCCGAGAAGGCGGUGGCUGGCAGAUGUCUUCUUCCGGCGGACUACCACGAAGUUGUGCUCUGGUCGCUGCACAUCGCGACAUGACGUGCAAGACACGUGACGCACCGCCUCCACCACUCCUGCCACACCUUGUCCGCCUCCGCUAACGGCUUGUACGGGCAUCUCGUACUUCUCUGCUCGCUGUUAACUUUCAAAAAUGUCUCAAUAUGGUCCACCCAUUUUUUACCUACAAGGCCAACUCAUAGACUUCUGGGGGUUUGGUAUGACGCUGUUAAAUGAAGAAAUUUUGAUGAUUCUUACACCUCACUGCCUAGUCAUUUACUACCAGGUGUGGCAGUACACCACCUACGCCACAUAUCAUCCUAGUACAUCUUCUUGAGAGCUGAAAUAAAAACUUCCAAUAAAAUAAACCAAAAUCAAGAAAAAAGAAAACCCUGCAGGCAGAAAUAUGUCAAAGUCACCAAAGAAACCUCUGUCUAUCAUCAAAAGGGGAGGCGAAGCAACUGAAUGUAUGUUUUAUUUCAUAUUAUAACUCUUAAAACAAAACAUUUCUAAAAAAUAUUGUAACAUUUUGUUUACGCAAGUGUUAUCAUUUUAAUUGUAUUGAAUAUACUGGUUAUUUAUAAGAAUUGUAACGUUAAAAUUAACUUAAUAUUUUGAAAUUCAAAAGAUUAUCAGGGUAAUAUAGUUAAUUGUUUUUUUAUAAAGGUAUUAUUAUAUAGUAUUUAUAUCAUAUGGACGUAGUAGAAAUAUUGAAUUACUCAAGGUCAUUGUAUUACUCAUCUUGUUUAAUAUUUUAAUGUAAAUAUUUAAGGGAAAGUUCCAGAACAUACAAUUUUAGUACUUGCUUGAUUUCUUCAUCUCUGACUCGUAAUACCAGAAAGACUAUUUAUUGACAGUCUACAUUGUAAGGUGUUUAGGUCUUUUGCAUGGCUGGUGUUGUAGCCAUGAAUAGCAAACGGUGAUACAUUCUCCUUCAUUACAUAUGAGUCUUGAACGGUUAAUAUCCUAAGGUGUGUGAAAAUAGUCCUACGCUUCUUGUGGACAAUAAGUAUC